AAGGCAAUGAUGAUUGGCGCAGGGAUAGAGACCUCAGCUGAAUCAUGGGAGCUGAAUGUAAAUGUUUCUCUGGCCUGCAUGUAGUGGGGCAUCUGAAAAUAUUUACAUGAGACUUGUGCCUAGUCUGAGCUGCUU
ensembl:snoRNA